GGUGUUGCCACUGGCUAGUGACAUGUUUUCCUGCACCAGCCCAACUCUGGGCGUGGAGAGGGGACAAAGAGGAGAGGUGUGCUAGGUUCCGAGUUGUGCUGUAACAAGCUACCACAAACCCGGGCGUGGACAACAACAGGAACAUAUCCCCUGUCACUCUUCUCGGGGCUGGAAGCUCAGGGGUGGGCGGGGCUUGCUGCCCACGCCGUCCCCUGGCCUCCCAUGGUGGAGAAGCCAGAUCUUGGUGUCCUCUGGCUGGUGGCUGCGACAUUCCCACCUUUGCCCGUGUCACUGUACGGUCACUUUCUUUGUGUACGUCUCUGUGGGACCUCUCCUCUUCUUCAAAGGACACUAGUCAUCAGAUGUAGAGCCCACCCGAGUCCAGUGUGACCUCAUCUGAACUUGGUUACAUGCGCAAAGACCUUUUGGGCGGGGUCGCCUGCAUAUGUGCCCAACACCAAAGUGGGAGAGAAGGGUAGGAAGGAAGAGGCUGUUCUGUGGAACUCCAGGGGGCCUGGGGGAGUCCCACUGAGACGUGGCCUUCCGUGUUAUGUGAAGGUGUUUGUCAAAGAGGGAGCACAGUGUGUCGCUUUUAAGCACAUAAUCACAUGUGCGUAAGCCUCAUUUGCAUCCUGGGUUUGCACAUGUUAGCAGAUCUGAAUCAGGUUGGAAGCAUCUGGAAUUCUCAGGACUCACAAGUCCAGGAUGCCUUGAAUUAUCCUGCUCUCUGAAUUAUGGGGUGUGUGUGUGUGUGUGUGUGUGUUGUUGAUCUCCCUCUCUAGAAAUAUAAGCUUUUAUGAGAAUACAGGCCUUUUUCUCUUUGUCUUUGUGAUGGGUUAAUAAGCACCUCUGCUUUCUAGGGCCGCUGAUGGCAUGGGGUGCCAGGCACAAGGCAUGGCUCCCCAAGCCUUGCACACCGUUGAGCCUUCCUGCCUGCCAAGACCUCAAGCCAGGUAGGACCAAGGUCAUCUCGUCCUCAUGACCUCUCCAGUCGUUAUUUGGGAUUCCAUUCAUUCAGAGCCCGAGCUCUGGUUAGCUUUCUCCAUGACGUCAGCCCCCAGCACCACUGUGCGGUGACUACACUUGUUGAUGUUCAAGCUGUCCCUUUCGGCCAAGCCUCUUCGUGUGGUCUCCUGUAUCCUCGUGGAUUUGACCCCAGUAGUCGUCGACAGCUGCCUUGCUUCCCGAUGACAAGAUGUUCCCAGUUCACCUGCAACAUCUCUUGCCGCAGAUCUGGGAACUGGCUGCUUCUCCACGGAGCCCUGAAUUCUAAUGGACAGUGGUGUUUAGAGACCAUAACCCCAGGUGACAGGGUGCUCACUGCACACACAAUGAGUCGCUCUGUCUCACUUCUCCAUGGAAGGAGCCAGCAAACACGUGUUCCUGUCUAUAAGGCUCAUGAGAGCUUCAGUUCAAGCCACAGGUCUUCACCUCAUCUCUGUGAUCUCUCAGGUGCCUCUGCUUUCUUCCAUGACAUGUGAUCAAGUCUGGUGUCUAAAAGCAAAGCCCCCCCACUGUGUCUCCCAUCAAGCUGGGAGCGUGUGAGGAAGCCCUUAAGUCUCCCGUGGGCGUGAGCCUCGGUUCUCCCACGAGGCUGCUCUGGGAAAAGCCCACUUCCUGGUCCCCAAGAGACCACGCAGCCCCUUCCAACAUCCUCAGUGCGGAUCCUCCCAUCCAGCCGGUUUCCUUCCUGGCUGCACACUGGAGUCUCAUGCGGAAUUAUAAAACCUUCCGAUGCCUGUCCCUGUCCACAUAAAUCACAGGACAGAAUCUCCGGGGCUGGAACCCUAUAAUAAAAAAGUAUAUAUAUUUAAAAAAAAAUUUUUAGUUGUAGAUGGACAUAAUAUUUUAUAAUUUAUUUUAUUUAUUUAUUUAUAUGUGGUGCUGAGGAUCGAACCCAGUGCCUCACACAUGCUAGGCAAGCGCUCUACUCGCUGAGCCACAACCCCAGCCCCCCAAGAUAUAUAUUUUUAAAUGAAGUCCAGGUAAUCGUAACGUGCAGCUGGGCUGAGGGUCACUGUGGUAGUCCUUGCUUCUCAGCAAAGUGGAUAGUAGACCAGCUCUGCCGUGGAAGCCCAUUAGCUUCAGUUUGAAUUCUGGGGCUGCCUAUUUCAGGCUAUGAGAUCCCUGGACCAACUGAGCAACAGAAGUUUCUACAAUCACCCAAAUGAUCUAAAUAUGCACUGUUUGGUGUGGUGGCCACUGACCACACAGGACUACCGGGCACUUGAACUUGUUGCUAGUAUCCCCUGUCCAGUGAAUUUUUAAAUAUAUUUAAUCUUAUCUAAUUUAUGCCAGUGGCUAGCAGCUUCUGUCUUGGACCAGGUCGCUCUCGAAAAUCAUCUCCGUCCCCCAGCUUCCUACGGUAACACAGGGAAUAAUGAAGGGUUAUUUCACCGGGAAAUUGUGGGGAUUAGAGAUAAUGUAUAUAAAGUGCCUGGUGCACACAAGGCAGUCCAUAAAACACUGCUUAUUUUCUUUAUUAACAUCAGCCUGCCACUCUUACAAAAAAAAAAUAAAGCAUGCCUGGAUAAAUUAGGGCUCAGAAGCACCCCACCACAGAGGCUAAAGAUCCCAAGCUGUUCCAGAAAAACUCUUGGAAAACAGCCCUGAGUUGCAGAAGUCCGAUUGCAGCAGGAGGUGAUCGGUUACAAGGGCUCCGUUUCAUUGCAGCCCUCGCCGCAGCUCAAUAAAUUAAGCAAUCUCUCCAAAUAACAUGUUGCUUUAAUCCCCUCCCUUGGCACCGGUUCAAGUUGUUUGGGGUUUACAUCAGCCCAAGCCCUGAGAGGCCACUCACGGUGUCCUUGUGCCUCUCUCUCCCCUGAUUCAUCAGCCGGCUCUGGAAACAGCGUUGCAGCCUCCUGAUUGGCAGGAGAGCGGAUGCCAAGCCAAGCAGGUCUCCUUUUAUCAGAACUGGAGUCUCUUCUGUCCUCUGGCCUUGACACGUCGCACGGUUCAUCGGCUGAGAUUUCUGGCAGGUCCAUCUGCAACCGAGACAGAGACACCUCUCAGCGGCCGGCCGGGUUCUGGGCGUGGACAGCCAACGCGCCCUGGCUUUUCCAUUCCCAUCCCUCUCUCUCUAGUGGUUUAUAAUCUCACAGCAGAAUUUCGUUUCCCCUAGAAACUUGGCAUCGGAGGUGUCAGCCUGGGAACAUAUUUGUUUGUGUAAAUUAAAAAGAAGAAUAUGUUUUGACCAUAUUUAACUUCUAACCGUGCUGGAGAAAUAAAUACUGGCUCUCACAGUG